AAUCCCUGAUAUGGACAAGCUCUUAGUAGCUCCUUGCACCUUUCCUAGGCGUCAAAGAGGGACUUACCAUCCUGUUGAGUAAAUAUGGUAAUUUGGUUACGUAGAAC